GGGAAGAGCCCAAACCAACAAGCUUGCUUGUUGGGGUUGUAGGACACUCUAUACGGAGUUACAAAGGACGACAUUAGACGAAUCAUCUGGAAAGAUGAAUCAAAGAAGGUAAUAAUCCUGUAGUCGAAAAUGUUGUCUCUCUUGAGUGGAUCCUGAGUACGACGGAGCACGUGAAAUUCCGUCGGAAUCUGGGAGGACCAUCUCCUAAGGCUAAAUACUCUCUAGUGACCGAUAGUGAACCAGUACCGUGAGGGAAAGGUGAAAAGCACCCCGGAAGGGGAGUGAAAUAGAACCUGAAACCGUGUGCUUACAAGUAGUCAGAGCCCGUUAAUGGGUGAUGGCGUGCCUUUUGUAGAAUGAACCGGCGAGUUACGAUUUGAUGCAAGGUUAAGCAGUAAAUGUGGAGCCGUAGCGAAAGCGAGUCUGAAUAGGGCGUUUAGUAUUUGGUCGUAGACCCGAAACCAGGUGAUCUACCCUUGGUCAGGUUGAAGUUCAGGUAACACUGAAUGGAGGACCGAACCGACUUACGUUGAAAAGUGAGCGGAUGAACUGAGGGUAGCGGAGAAAUUCCAAUCGAACCUGGAGAUAGCUGGUUCUCUCCGAAAUAGCUUUAGGGCUAGCCUCAAGUGAUGAUUAUUGGAGGUAGAGCACUGUUUGGACGAGGGGCCCCUCUCGGGUUACCGAAUUCAGACAAACUCCGAAUGCCAAUUAAUUUAACUUGGGAGUCAGAACAUGGGUGAUAAGGUCCGUGUUCGAAAGGGAAACAGCCCAGACCACCAGCUAAGGUCCCAAAAUAUAUGUUAAGUGGAAAAGGAUGUGGCGUUGCCCAGACAACUAGGAUGUUGGCUUAGAAGCAGCCAUCAUUUAAAGAGUGCGUAAUAGCUCACUAGUCGAGUGACACUGCGCCGAAAAUGUACCGGGGCUAAACAUAUUACCGAAGCUGUGGAUUGUCCUUUGGACAAUGGUAGGAGAGCGUUCUAAGGGCGUUGAAGCAUGAUCGUAAGGACAUGUGGAGCGCUUAGAAGUGAGAAUGCCGGUGUGAGUAGCGAAAGACGGGUGAGAAUCCCGUCCACCGAUUGACUAAGGUUUCCAGAGGAAGGCUCGUCCGCUCUGGGUUAGUCGGGUCCUAAGCUGAGGCCGACAGGCGUAGGCGAUGGAUAACAGGUUGAUAUUCCUGUACCACCUAUAAUCGUUUUAAUCGAUGGGGGGACGCAGUAGGAUAGGCGAAGCGUGCGAUUGGAUUGCACGUCUAAGCAGUAAGGCUGAGUAUUAGGCAAAUCCGGUACUCGUUAAGGCUGAGCUGUGAUGGGGAGAAGACAUUGAGUCUUCGAGUCGUUGAUUUCACACUGCCGAGAAAAGCCUCUAGAUAGAAAAUAGGUGCCCGUACCGCAAACCGACACAGGUAGUCAAGAUGAGAAUUCUAAGGUGAGCGAGCGAACUCUCGUUAAGGAACUCGGCAAAAUGACCCCGUAACUUCGGGAGAAGGGGUGCUCUUUAGGGUUAACGCCCAGAAGAGCCGCAGUGAAUAGGCCCAAGCGACUGUUUAUCAAAAACACAGGUCUCUGCUAAACCGUAAGGUGAUGUAUAGGGGCUGACGCCUGCCCGGUGCUGGAAGGUUAAGAGGAGUGGUUAGCUUCUGCGAAGCUACGAAUCGAAGCCCCAGUAAACGGCGGCCGUAACUAUAACGGUCCUAAGGUAGCGAAAUUCCUUGUCGGGUAAGUUCCGACCCGCACGAAAGGCGUAACGAUUUGGGCACUGUCUCAACGAGAGACUCGGUGAAAUCAUAGUACCUGUGAAGAUGCAGGUUACCCGCGACAGGACGGAAAGACCCCGUGGAGCUUUACUGUAGCCUGAUAUUGAAAUUCGGCACAGCUUGUACAGGAUAGGUAGGAGCCUUUGAAACGUGAGCGCUAGCUUACGUGGAGGCGCUGGUGGGAUACUACCCUAGCUGUGUUGGCUUUCUAACCCGCACCACUUAUCGUGGUGGGAGACAGUGUCAGGCGGGCAGUUUGACUGGGGCGGUCGCCUCCUAAAAGGUAACGGAGGCGCUCAAAGGUUCCCUCAGAAUGGUUGGAAAUCAUUCAUAGAGUGUAAAGGCAUAAGGGAGCUUGACUGCGAGACCUACAAGUCGAGCAGGGUCGAAAGACGGACUUAGUGAUCCGGUGGUUCCGCAUGGAAGGGCCAUCGCUCAACGGAUAAAAGCUACCCCGGGGAUAACAGGCUUAUCUCCCCCAAGAGUUCACAUCGACGGGGAGGUUUGGCACCUCGAUGUCGGCUCAUCGCAUCCUGGGGCUGUAGUCGGUCCCAAGGGUUGGGCUGUUCGCCCAUUAAAGCGGUACGCGAGCUGGGUUCAGAACGUCGUGAGACAGUUCGGUCCCUAUCCGUCGUGGGCGUAGGAAAUUUGAGAGGAGCUGUCCUUAGUACGAGAGGACCGGGAUGGACAUACCUCUGGUGUACCAGUUGUCGUGCCAACGGCAUAGCUGGGUAGCUAUGUGUGGACGGGAUAAGUGCUGAAAGCAUCUAAGCAUG
rnacentral:rRNA from 1 species